rnacentral:tRNA from 1 species
GCCCGGAUGGUGAAAUUGGCAGACACAAGGGACUUAAAAUCCCUCGGGCGCUGACCCGCCCGUGCCGGUUCGAGUCCGGCUCCGGGCACCA